rnacentral:lncRNA from 1 species
CCAUAUAUAUAUGUACACAUAUAGGACACAAAUCUCUAUAACAAAAACGACAACUAUAUACAUAUAGGUAAUCAAAAAAUACAUAAUACAUAUCUUAAAUAGUAAAAAAUAUAAAUAAAUACAUAUGUUGCCCUUUAGAAUGACAUACAAAUUCAAUACUGUACAAAAAUACAUAUGAAUAUGCAUUUGUGUAUACAAAAUACAAAUACAUGCACAUGCCCCAAAAAAACUUAUACACAACCAGAUUUGUGUAUAUAUACAAAUGAGUACCCAUUAGUUGAUAAAUACAUAUACAAAUACCUUUUCGUCUUUAUAUCCUUCAAAAUCAUAUUAGAAGAGUUUCAACAUCAGGACUUAAAAUUUUGCUCGUUGUUCAAUUUUUUUUCUUUAUUUUUUCCUCAGAUCUUUGUAUUUUUUGGGGCGUUUUGGAGAUGAAAGUUUCUUCACUCCUUUUUCUUUCAUCAUUUCGGCCAUUUCGCUGGAUCAUUAUGAUGUUUCGACCUUACCUCUUCGACGCUCGCUGAUUUCUUUAAUUGUUCUACCAUUAAUGCAAACCUCCACAAUCAUACCAUAAGAAAUCACAAAAAUUUUAAAAAAAACGCAAGGACAAUGAUGAAAAAAAAAUUAUAAAAUAUAUAGAAUUUGGGAAAGAGGUAACAUACAAUAACUAUAAAAUUAAUUAUCACCUUAUUUUGUGGAGCAUGAUCUUUAUCUAUUAAGGUGAAAAAACAUGAGAAAAAGAAAAAAAUUGAAAUGAAAAUAUG